rnacentral:snRNA from 1 species
GUGCUUGCUUCAGCAGUACAUGUAUUAAAAUUGAAAUGAUACAGAGAAGAUGAGGCUGGCCCCUGCACAAAGAUGACAUGCAAAUCUGUGAAGCAUUCAAUAUUGUA